rnacentral:rRNA from 1 species
AAACAACUCUCAGCAACGGAUAUCUUGGCUCCUGCAACGAUGAAGAACGCACCGAAAUGCGAUACGUAGUGUGAAUUGCAGAAUUCCGCGAAUCAUCGAGUCUUUGAACGCAAGUUGCGCCCGAAACGAAAGUGUCGGGCAUUUCUGGCAGAGCGUCACCG